rnacentral:rRNA from 1 species
CCAAUGUGAACGUUACCAAACUGUUGCCUCGGCGGGAUCUCUGCCCCGGGUGCGUCGCAGCCCCGGACCAAGGCGCCCGCCGGAGGACCAACCAAAACUCUUUUUGUAUACCCCCUCGCGGGUUUUUUAUAAUCUGAGCCUUCUCGGCGCCUCUCGUAGGCGUUUCGAAAAUGAAUCAAAACUUUCAACAACGGAUCUCUUGGUUCUGGCAUCGAUGAAGAACGCAGCGAAAUGCGAUAAGUAAUGUGAAUUGCAGAAUUCAGUGAAUCAUCGAAUCUUUGAACGCACAUUGCGCCCGCCAGUAUUCUGGCGGGCAUGCCUGUCCGAGCGUCAUUUCAACCCUCGAACCCCUCCGGGGGGUCGGCGUUGGGGAUCGGCCCUCCCUUAGCGGGUGGCCGUCUCCGAAAUACAGUGGCGGUCUCGCCGCAGCCUCUCCUGCGCAGUAGUUUGCACACUCGCAUCGGGAGCGCGGCGCGUCCACAGCCGUUAAACACCCAACUUCUGAAAUGUUGACCUCGGAUCAGGUAGGAAUACCCGCUGAACUUAAGCAUAUCAAUAAGCGGAG